rnacentral:misc_RNA from 1 species
GAUGAAGAACGUAGUGAAAUGCGAUAAGUAAUGUGAAUUGCAGAAUUCAGUGAAUCAUCGAAUCUUUGAACGCACCUUGCGCUCCUUGGUAUUCCGAGGAGCAUGCCUGUUUGAGUGUCAUUAAUAUAUCAACCUUCUCUUUUUUGAGUUGUUUGGAUGUGGGGGUUUGCUGGCCUCUUAAAUGAUUCAGCUCCCCUGAAAUGCAUUAGCAGAACAACCUGUUCAUUAGCGUGAUAAUUAUCUAUGCUAUUGAAUGUGAGGGCAGUCAGCUUUCUAACCGUCCUUGGACAAUUCAUCAUUAAUGUGACCUCAAAUCAGGUAGGACUACCCGUUGAACUUAAGCAUAUCAAUAAGCGGAGGA